CUUAGCUUCCAGCUUGAAUAUACAGCCUUCAGCAGUUGCAUAAAUAAUACUCAAAGUUAUAGCAUUAAAAUUGCUUUCAGUUUUGGUGUAACCACUGCACAGUGCUUUUCAACAAGCUGAGCUUUCUUAGAUUUUGUCAUUGUUAUUCAUCAUACUCAGCCUGUGUCUGCUCAUGUCUAUAAACGAAGGCCAUCUUCAUGUGAUGAUUUGAUUGUAAUAGCAGGGUGGGCACUUCCCCACAAAACAGUGAAAUCAUCGUUGAUCCCCAUUACCAAAGACAUGAUGCUCCAGGACUGACUCGAUUUUUAAUCCAAAGGAUGGCUGGGCUCUUCUCAAGGAGCCUUGCUCUAGCUUCCCUGGGCUCUGAGGAAUGCCCAGCUACAUCAACCUUCAUAUUUCUCUGCAAGACACAGGAGUAUCCCAGAGAAGCUCCAAUAUCCUCAGAACAAAAGGUCUCGGGUGGGGCCUCUUCCUAACAAGCCUCCUAACGAUAUUAACACUGCUGCCAUGGAGGAGAAGUUAGUGGCUGGACACACUGAAAGACACCAUUUAAAACUGCAAAGCAAGAUUUCUCUGUAAGAUUGCAUGGAAAGGCUCUCUGUAAUGAGACACUGAAAACUCAGCGAGACCCUGACUGGAAUAUUAAAAAGAGGCCCUCCUCACUGUGUUUGACUCAUUGCUACUGUUACUGGAAAGAGGCCCGAAUUCAGACCCCAAAACAGGGCUCUUGGAUCUCGUGCAAGAAAAAAUUGGGGUUAAUGUCCCAUGGUCUUUGUUAGGC
rnacentral:lncRNA from 10 species